UUGACGCCACUGCUCGACAUCAUCUCCUAUUUCAAACCCUAAAGUAUCAAUUUUCUUUCUGAUUCUUGUCUAACAACUUCAGUUCUUGUAAUAACAACUUCAACACAGAUUGAGGUUUCGAAAAUCUCUACUGAGGAUAUGCAAGUGAGAACGAUACAAGAAGAUGAAGCCGAUGGCGAUUCAAGCCGAUUGGAUCAUGUGAAACCUUGAUGAAAGGUAGAAUAAGAAAGAGAUGGGAAGAUGGAGGAAUAGAGAGAGAC
rnacentral:lncRNA from 1 species